UACGGGGGGGGGCAAGCGUUGUUCGGAAUUACUGGGCGUAAAGGGCGCGUAGGCGGCCUGCUAAGUCACACGUGAAAUCCCUCGGCUCAACCGGGGAACUGCGUGUGAUACUGGCGGGCUCGAAUUCGGGAGAGGGAUGUGGAAUUCCAGGUGUAGCGGUGAAAUGCGUAGAUAUCUGGAGGAACACCGGUGGCGAAGGCGGCAUCCUGGACCGAGAUUGACGCUGAUGCGCGAAAGCUAGGGUAGCAAACGGG
rnacentral:rRNA from 1 species